CCGAAGAAAAAGUUGAGCUCGGAUGAAAGGUUUGAGAUCAUAGCAAUCGCGCCCGACGGACAAACGAUUGAACCCAUCCGGACGAAGAGCGCAUUUGUUGCUCAGUGCGGGGUUCUGGUUAGGGACAAGAUCCCGAUCAGCAUCCAGCAAUGGUUAAAGCCGGCUACAGAAGACCCUGAGGUGUCUUAUGUCAAUGAUAUGCAGAAAAAUGAUCUUUGGUCUAAGCUGAAGUCAAAUUUCACCCUACCGCCGGAGGAUGAUCCGGAGAAGCCAGUUAAAGAGCAAUUAAUCAAGUCUUUUGCUCUUAAGAGGAUGGCAGAACUAUUCAGGAGGUGGAAGAAAGAGCUGAAUAAGUUUGUUGAUAAAAAAAAGACACCAGAAUUCAAGGGAAGAUAUGAGAAGAUCAGAGAUCACUGGCCC
rnacentral:rRNA from 1 species